rnacentral:rRNA from 1 species
CCUACGGGAGGCAGCAGUGGGGGAUAUUGCACAAUGGCGGAAACCCUGAUGCAGCGACGCCGCGUGAGCGAAGAAGUAGUUCGGUAUGUAAAGCUCUAUCAGCAGGGAAGAAGAAAUGACGGUACCUGAGUAAGAAGCACCGGCUAAAUACGUGCCAGCAGCCGCGUGAAUACGUAUGGUGCAAGCGUUAUCCGGAUUUACUGGGUGUACAGGGAGCGCUGGGGGCACGGCAAGCCUAUGGUGAAAGCUCGGGGCCAAACCGCGGGACUGCAGUGGGAACUGCCUGGCGGGAGUGCCGGAGAGGUAGGCGGAAUGCGUAGUGUAGCGGUGAAAUGCGUAGAUAUUAGGAGGAACACCAGUGGCGAAGGCGGCCUACUGGACGGUGACUGACGCUGAGGCUCGAAAGCGUGGGGAGCAAACAGGAUUAGAUACCCGAGUAGUC